rnacentral:lncRNA from 1 species
UGGGUUUCCACUCACACGGUAGGCGGCUGUGCGAUUUCGUCUGGAGUCCCCGGACCCCUCCUCAUCCUUCCCAGGGUUGCUCUGAGGCCUUUCCUCGUCAUCUAGGAGGGGUCUACAUAAAAGCAUUUAUAAACAGCUCCAAAUGGGAGCCUGGCGCGCCCACCUUUGGAGCACUUUUCUCUACUGCAGAUUUAUCUACUGCUUGUGAAAUCUCUGGAUUUAACUCUGAUGAAAGACCGGAGGCUGAAGGAGAACUUCACUAUCAUAUAUUUUAAAGGUUGACUCACAGUUUGGAGCACGAAUUAAAGAACCACGAACUUCAAGGUAAAACGGGCAACGGCGUUGGGGCAAGCCUCUCUGCAUCUGCGUGUCCAGCCUCUCCUGCGUGCCAGAAGUCCCCAGGCAGGAGUGUGGUGGGACAUCCGGCUGGGGUGAUGUAAAAUUCUCAAACAAUGAGAUAGAUAAAAAGUACGCAGCCAAAAAGUGCAGGAAGAAGUGUUAUGGAGAUGGAGCAGGCCCUUCGUAAAAACACGAUGUUGGUUUUCUGGAUUUUGGAGGCCUCACAAAACCUGGAUCAGACUCGCCCGCUGCCCUGUGUCUGCCCUCCCGACCCCCUCUCCUGCCCAGCAGGGAUGUGGGUGGCAGUGGUGCUGUGUGGAGGGUGGCGGGAGGACCGGGAAGACUGCGACCAGUGAGCCGGGAGGCCUUGGGACAGCCUCUCUCUGAAUCAUCCUGUGCACUACCGGGUGUGACAGAGGCUCCUAGAAUCCUGCCUCAAGUGGCCGCCUUCACAGAGGGAGUCACUGAUAUCCCUGCUCAGCGCAGCCCUGGCAUGUGGUGGUCCCUCUACUCAUGAGAAACCCCCACCCAAUCACCAUGAGGUGUGUGACCCAUGCUCACAUCCAGGGGCCACUCAUUCAUUCAGGAAACA